rnacentral:snRNA from 1 species
AUAUAUAUNCCGAGGCGCGUCUAUUGCUGGUUGAAAACUAUUUCCAAACCCCCUCCUGGGCCUAAGCUUGUCUUGGGCCUUCGAGAAUUUCUGGAAGGGCUCCCUUCGGGGUAAAGCC